rnacentral:rRNA from 1 species
GGGGAUCUGCCCGAUAGAGGGGGAUAACCACUGGAAACGGUGGCUAAUACCGCAUAACGUCGCAAGACCAAAGAGGGGGACCUUAGGGCCUCUCACUGUCGGAUGAACCCAGAUGGGAUUAGCUAGUAGGCGGGGUAACGGCCCACCUAGGCGACGAUCCCUAGCUGGUCUGAGAGGAUGACCAGCCACACUGGAACUGAGACACGGUCCAGACUCCUACGGGAGGCAGCAGUGGGGAAUAUUGCACAAUGGGCGCAAGCCUGAUGCAGCCAUGCCGCGUGUAUGAAGAAGGCCUUCGGGUUGUAAAGUACUUUCAGCGGGGAGGAAGGCGAUGUGGUUAAUAACCGCGUCGAUUGACGUUACCCGCAGAAGAAGCACCGGCUAACUCCGUGCCAGCAGCCGCGGUAAUACGGAGGGUGCAAGCGUUAAUCGGAAUUACUGGGCGUAAAGCGCACGCAGGCGGUCUGUUAAGUCAGAUGUGAAAUCCCCGGGCUUAACCUGGGAACUGCAUUUGAAACUGGCAGGCUUGAGUCUCGUAGAGGGGGGUAGAAUUCCAGGU